UAAAUAGAAUAUACAAAUUCAUAGAGACAGAAAGAUUAGAUGUUAUCUCAAGAUGGAGAAGAAAGGAAUAUAGAGCAAUGAUUUCCUAAGUACAGAAUCUCUGUUUUAUGUGAUGGAAAAGUCCCACAAAUGGACAGUAGUAUCAGGACAUAAUAUCAUGAAUGUAAUAAAUCAAUACACGUAAUGUAAUUAAUGAAUAUUAUAAAUGCAGUUAUUGAAUGAAUACUGCAAAUGUAAUCAAUGAAUACCACAAAUGUAAUUAAUAUCAUGAGUGUAAUUAAUGAAUACCAUGAAUGUAAAUAAUAAGUAAAUAAGUAAAUAAAUGAAAAGAAAGGUCUGCUAAUUGCCAAAAGUAACCACAAACAGAAGUAUAAGGGAGCAAUUUACUGGACCAAAAAUUAAGACAUACCAUAAAACAAGUUCAUAAGAACAGGAGCAGGCAGGUAGAAUUUAAAAACAAAAAAGUUCUGAAAUAAUCAGGAGGCAGAGGCAGAAGAAUUUCUCUGUGUUUGAGGACAGCCUCAGCUAAAUAGUGAGUUCCAAGACAGCCAGGGUUAUAUAGAGAAACCUGUCUCAAAACAAACAAACAAAAAACCCUAAACCCAGCUCUGAAAUAAAUUCACUUACAUAUGGCAGCUUAAUUGAAGAGAGCUCCACAUAGUGACAAGAAAUGAUUCCAUAGCUGUGAUAAGUGCUGUCAACUUGCGAAAAUCUAGAAUCAUGUGGACCUGUGCCUCUGAGCAUGCCCAAGGGGGACCAUCUUGAUAACCAUACCUGGGGCGCCACUGUGGUGGCCCCAUUCUCUGACUAGGAUCUGAGACUGAGUCAGUGGGGAAAGAGAAGUGAGCUCCAGUUUGGACUCAUCACUCAUCUCCGCUUCUUACUGCAGAUGCAACGUGACUCGCUAGCCUAAGCCCCUGCAGUUGUGACCUCCUCUACCACGAUGGACCAAUGGACCAUAACCUUGGGUGAUGGUGUGGAUGUACCACUUGCAUGCCUGGUGCCUACAAGUCCAGAGGAGGACAACCGAUCAUCUGGAGUGACAGGUGGUGCUGAGCCACCUGAUGUGGGUGCCGCGAACAGAACUUUGUCCUCGGUUGAGCCAUCUCUCCAGGCGACCCGCCACUGCCCCCUUUGAGAUAGGGGAACACUCUUGGAGGAGGCUAGUUUGGAACACACAGUGCAGCUCAGGCUGGACUCGAAACUGCAGUGAUCCCUCUGCCUCAGUCUCCUCAGUGCUGAGAGGACACUUUCCGGAGCUGGCGCUUCUGAGGAGCUUCUCCAUGGAGGCUGUUGUGCCAGCAGGAGGGGCUCUGUGGCUCAGGUGGGAGAGCUGUGAGGACAGGGAUGCCAGGCCUGGGUACAGAGGAGGGGUCAGCAGGGGGGAAGUUUUGUUCGAUGGUCUGAGAUCUGGUGCUCUGGGAAAGUUCCCGAGAGACAGACUUGAGCUGAUUUUCUUCAUUUAGGACUGACAUGUAAAAGAAAAUUCGUCAGGGGGAAAAAAAAAUCGGGGUUGUGAAAGUAUUGAGGCAGGGAUGAGCUGGGGAAUAUGAGGGAAUCGUGAGAGCACCUGUGUGUUUGGAUUGGCCUCCUGGGAGAGAAUAUUGAAGGUAGGACCUCAGCAAAGGAAACUUCUGUGUCGGUUGGAAUCUUUGUGAAUUUCCCAAAGAAGGGUACUACGCCUAUUAUUAUUAUUAUUAUUAUUGUUGUUGUUGUUAUUAUUAUUACUAUUACUAUUAUUAUUAUUAUUAUUUUUGUGUGACCUCCACUUUGCUGCUCAUAGUCAUUGUAGGUAUCCUGUAUUUCUAGGAGGGGUGGUGUUGGUAGAGUGAGAAGGAUUUGCUCAAGACUUAGCGAUUCCUGUAUAGCCAGCAUUCUGUUUAUACCGUUUUGUAUAUUAAAAUAUUUAUGUAAUGGAUUAUCAUUUACACUUAAAUUCUGUUGGCUUGCUAGCCUGACUUUAUAUAUAUAUAUAUAAUAUAUAUUAUAUAUAUUAAAGAUAUUGGAGUUUUCUUAGACUUGCUGUUGGAAGGGAGCUGUGAAGCCAUGUUCCUACAUUCAUUGACACGAAAUAUAUUCAACUCCACAAUGAUAGCUGGAGAAAAGAUUGACAGCUGCCUGGAGAAGCAGAUAGUAAAUUUCCUGGAUUGCUCUACGGAUUUGGAAGACUUUGGAAGGUAGAAGUUUAUUUGAAAUUUUCACAGAGAAACACUCUUGUGCAGAGGGCUGGAGAGAUGGUUUAAUGAUUAAGAAUACUUAACUACUGUUUCAGAGGACUCAGGUCCAUUUCCCAGCACCUGCAUGGUGGCUCACAACUGUGCAACUCCAAUUCCAGGGGAUCCAACAUCCUCUUCUGACACCCAUGGGUACCAGGCACAUAUGUAGUGCGCAUGUAUACACCCAGGCAAACCACUCAUAUACAUCAAAUGAAUAAAUAAAUUUUGGAUACUUUUUUGGCA